UGGCGGACGGGUGAGUAACGCGUAAAGAACUUGCCCUUUAGACUGGGAUAACAGAGGGAAACUUCGGAUAAUACUGGAUAAGUUAGUAUAUCGCAUGAUAUGCAAAUGAAAGCUACGGCACUAAAGGAGAGCUUUGCGUCCUAUUAGCUAGUUGGUAAGGUAAGAGCUUACCAAGGCGAUGAUAGGUAGCCGGCCUGAGAGGGUGGACGGCCACAAGGGGACUGAGAUACGGCCCUUACUCCUACGGGAGGCAGCAGCG
rnacentral:rRNA from 1 species